UACAGAGGUCCCAAGCGUUGUUCGGAUUCACUGGGCGUAAAGGGCGCGUAGGCGGCCUGUUAAGUCGAACGUGAAAUCCCCGGGCUCAACCCGGGAACUGCGUCCGAUACUGGCAGGCUUGAAUCCGGGAGAGGGAUGCGGAAUUCCAGGUGUAGCGGUGAAAUGCGUAGAUAUUGGGAAGAACACCGGUGGCGAAGGCGGCUCACUGGCUCGUAACUGACGCUCAGGCGCGACAGCGUGGGGAUCAAACAGG
rnacentral:rRNA from 1 species